GUUAACAACGUAGCUGCGUUCUAUCACCGUGACUCUUGGGAUUUCAAAACCUCAGACCAACGCCUCUGUAACGUCUUCAGAUUUUGCCUAUACAUUUAUCCAAGCAUUAACGUUGUUCCUACCACUCCUACCAGCAUUAAGUCGGCCUUAUCAUCCACCAAGGUAGCCGUUCAAAACACCAAAAAGUGUUCUUCCCCUGCGAGGACAGACGCACUGCAACGAAAUCCAAAGGUCAAUCACAAUCAAGCAACAACUCUGUCAAUGGCGAAAUCUUACACUUUUUUUGCCGAUUCGAAGGCUGGUCGCUGCUCAAACACGGUGGAUUAAUACAAAGGUUACAACUCCGAAAUCUGUUUAUUUGUUCUGUUUAUUCUCUAAGCAGCUUUGAUGUUACAUUGAGCCAAAAAAAACUUGCGACUCUCGGAUACGUCGUUAAUCACAGAUUCGAUAAAGUCAAUACAAACUGAAAUAUUUUGAUUCCUUGACUACGAUGGCAAAUACCGACAAACAGUUACCUGGUAUUCUUUUAAUCUUCUCUUAUCAAUUAGGCAUUUUUCAACCAUAUUAACGCAUCACCACUUCUAAAAUUGCGAGAUAUACUUGGUGAGCUUUUUGCAAUCAGGAACACAACGUGUUAUGCCUACUUUGCGUAUAUAAAGGCCGUUUUUUAAAUACAACUUCUGGAACCCACAUCUAAUUUGUCUCAGACACAGCUGUCGGAAAAGAACACUGUGAAAAAUAAUUGAGAUUCUCUGCACCAUCAAAGUUACUGGUAUCCAGACAGAAUAAGAAUGGCGCUAUAUAGGUUGUUCAACAUGUUCAAAGAAACUUCAGAGAUAAAUUUCUUCUUUCACAUGCAUCGUAUGUGAUAAUACCAGCGCUGUAGGCGUUCUCAGGUAUCAAGUUGAGCUGUCUGUCUCAGACCAGACGGAUGAAACUUUCUUUGUGGCUUUUGAUGUGGAGAUGACUAAGUUAACCAACAUUCAAGCUGCUGAAGCCGACCAUA